GGCGGAGGGCCAGGUCUCUGUGCUCGGCCGAGGCCGGAGCGUUUGCUGCGGAGCCGGCCGUCCCGGGGAGAAGAGGUGUGGAUAGACGAUUCAGUAGGAUAAGCUGGCUUCGAAACUACGCUGCUCAGAAGAAUUGUUUUUCUCAGCUCUGUCGAGGCCUCUGAGUUCCUUGCUACAAGGAAGAGGACAGGGCCACUCUGAGCCAUGUCCAACGACCCUCCGCCACCCUACCCGGGAGGCCCCUCGGCACCACUGAUAGAAGAGAAGCACGGUCCACCCCCUGCAACAGGUACUGGGGGGUGGUCCCAGCUGCACGGGGUGUUGGGGUGACAUUGCUGAGCGGGCAGGAGCCAAGCAAGUGUGGUUUCCCUGGGAGCGGCCUGGCCAUGGCCUCUCCUCACAGCUCUGCCCCGCGGUGUGCAGCGUGCUGGGGAGGGUGGUGUGAUGCCGGCCUCCAUCUGUCACCGUAUCACCCUCCGGGGAGUCAGGAGGUCCUGGGGCAGUGACAAGAGCAGAAAGCAUUCCCCACUCAAAGCCUGGCUCUGCUCGCUGCUGUGGGUAACGUGGGCUGAAUUUGGGCUUCUUGUGGCCCGGAGGAUGAGUCUUG
rnacentral:lncRNA from 1 species